rnacentral:rRNA from 1 species
CUCUUUGAUCCUCCUCAGAACGAACGCUGGCGGCGCGCUUAACACAUGCAAGUCGAACGAAGUAUCUGUCAUCGGAUGGACUACUUAGUGGCGCACGGGUGAGUAACGCGUUCAACCUGCCCUUUGCUACGGGACAACCGCGGGAAACUGCGGCUAAUACCGUAUAAUGCAGCGACGUAAGUUGUUGCCAAAGAUUUAUCGGCGAAGGAGGGGCCCGCGUUGGAUUAGCUUGUUGGUGGGGUAACGGCUUACCAAGGCUUCGAUCCAUAGCUGGUCUGAGAGGACGAUCAGCCACAUACCGACUGAGACACGGCCCAGACUCCUACGGGAGGCAGCAGUGGGGAAUCUUGGACAAUGGGGGCAACCCUGAUCCAGCGACGCCGCGUGGAUGAAGAAGGCCUUAGGGUUGUAAAGUCCUAUCACCGCCUAGAAUGAUGAUGUUACCCGGAGAAGAAGCACCGGCUAACUCCGUGCCAGCAGCCGCGGUAAGACGGAGCAUGCUAGCGUUGUUCUCGGAAUCACUGCGCGUAAAGGCUCGUAGGCGGCCUAGAUAGUCAGAUGUGAAAGCCCAGGGCCCAACCCUGGAACUGCAUUUGAUACUCCUAGGCUAGAGGUCGAUCGGAGAGUGGAAUACCCAGUGUAGAGGUGAAAUUCGUAGAUAUUGGGUGGAACACCAGUGGCGAAAGCGGCUCUCUGGUUCGAUUCUGACGCUGAGGCGCGAAAGCGUGGUUCGCAAACAGGAUUAGAUACCCUGGUAGUCCACGCCCUAAACGAUGUGUGCUAGGCGUCGGGGGGCUUGCCCUUCGGUGCCGGAGCUAACGUGUUAAGCACACCGCCUGGGGAGUACGGUCGCAAGAUUAAAACUCAAAGGAAUUGACCUAAAGGUGCACAAGCGGUGGAGCAUGUGGUUACGUCGACGCAACGCGCAGAACCUUACCAGCCCUUGACAUGGUGGUUACGAUUAGGGAGACGGAUCUCUCAGUUCGGCUGGACCAUCACAGGUGCUGCAUGGCUGUCGUCCAGGGUGUCGUGAGAUGUUGGGUUAAGUCCCGCAACGAGCGCAACCCUUGCCAUGGAUGCCAUCGGGUAGGGCCGGGCACUCUGAAGGAACUGCCGGUGACAAGCCGGAGGAAGGUGGGGAUGACGUCAAGUCCUCAUGGCCCAGUGGGCUGGGCUACACACGUGCUACAAUGGCGGUGACAAUGGGCAGCGAAGGAGCGAUCCGGAGCUAAUCCCCAAAUCCCGUCUCAGUUCGGAUUGCACGCUGCAACUCGCGUGCAUGAAGGUGGAAUCGCUAGUAAUCGUGGAUCAGCAUGCCACGGUGAAUACGUUCCCGGGCCUUGUACACACCGCCCGUCACACCAUGGGAGUUGGUAGUACCCGAGUCGUGUGGGCCUUGUCAAGGAGGCAGCCGUUCACGGUAAGGUCAGCGACUGGGGUGAAGUCGAGGUACCAG